AAGGAACCAGCGAGACUAGCUGGUCGAUAGGCCGGCGGUACAAGCGCGGCAACGCGUUCAGCCGACCGGUACUAAUGCUCCGUGAGGCUUGGCCAU
rnacentral:rRNA from 1 species